CCUACGGGGGGCUGUAGUGGGGAAUAUUGGACAAUGGGCGAAAGCCUGAUCCAGCCAUGCCGCGUGUGUGAAGAAGGCCUUCGGGUUGUAAAGCACUUUCAGUGGGGAAGAAAGCCUUGGGGCUAAUACCCUCGAGGAAGGACAUCACCCACAGAAGAAGCACCGGCUAACUCCGUGCCAGCAGCCGCGGUAAUACGGAGGGUGCGAGCGUUAAUCGGAAUUACUGGGCGUAAAGCGCGCGUAGGCGGUCUGAUAAGCCGGUUGUGAAAGCCCCGGGCUCAACCUGGGAACGGCAUCCGGAACUGUCAGGCUAGAGUACAGGAGAGGAAGGUAGAAUUCCCGGUGUAGCGGUGAAAUGCGAAGAGAUCGGGAGGAAUACCAGUGGCGAAGGCGGCCUUCUGGACUGACACUGACGCUGAGGUGCGAAAGCGUGGGUAGCAAACAGGAUUAGAUACCCUAGUAGUC
rnacentral:rRNA from 1 species